CCCUUAGAUGUUCUGGGCCGCACGCGCGCUACACUGAUGCAUUCAACGAGUUCCUACCUUGGCCGAGAGGCCUGGGCAAUCUUUUGAACUUGCAUCGUGAUAGGGAUAGAUUAUUGCAAUUAUUAAUCUUGAACGAGGAAUUCCUAGUAAACGCAGAUCAUCAAUCUGCAUUGAUUACGUCCCUGCCCUUUGUACACACCGCCCGUCGCACCUACCGAUUGAAUGGUCCGGUGAAGCCUCGGGAUUGUGGUUAGUUUCCUUCAUUGGAAGUUAGCCGCGAGAACUUGUCUAAACCUUAUCAUCUAGAGGAAGGUGAAGUCGUAACA
rnacentral:rRNA from 1 species